UUACCUGGGAUGCGUUGUCAUCCGUACCACCCUUUUACGGGAGUCCGACAUUUAUGAAUGGAAUGAUGCCGUCCCUGCUUCAUGCUGCCCCUAGUUUCAGUUUGUCGACGAACAACUAGCUGCACACUAUGAUCAGCAACCACGCAUAGUACCGCGCUGUGAACAUCUCCUGGCUGAUUUAAAUGCCCAAGGGAUUCAUCGCUGUAUUAUACGACGGAAUGCACGUCUAGUGAUGUAACGCACUGCUGCCUUGCCUGGGUUUCAAUCCGGUCAACUUCGUGUGUGUGCGCGUGCGCGCGUGUGUAACUGCGGGCUUGGAUUAUCACUUGCCGUAGAGUGAGUGCACAUGCGUCAAGCGAAGCCAUUCUUUGGCCGUUUUGUGCCUCGAGUGUGCGGGUGAUUGUUAUCUGGUUUAUGUUCCCUUUUUGUUUUUGUUUUGAAUUGUAAACACACUGAAUGUAAUGUUUUCUUGUCAGUCUAAAUUUUAUUCUUUGUUACAAAGUGUGGUGUUUUUUCCUUUUUGUAUUUUACAGAAGAAGGGAAGGAGUUUGGCUGCUGUUUAAUGGUGUCCACAUUGAGUGCCGUGCUUCGUAGGUUGGAGUGAUUUGGUUUAUGGUUUAUUAAGUGUGGUGUGACAAUUAAGGGUUACAGCAGACCAUCUCCCUCCUUUAAACUUCUUUCUUUUAUGUAUAUUGUAGUCUUUUGUAAAGUGUCUUUUGUUUGUCGUUUUUGUGACCUGUGAAUAUUGAGCCCUUGUGAGAUAAUGUGACAGUUUUCUUUAACUUUUGUACACCUUAAUAAAGCUGCCUUAUCUUUGUAAA